UACGUAGGGUGCGAGCGUUAAUCGGAAUUACUGGGCGUAAAGCGUGCGCAGGCGGUUCGCUGUGUCCUGUGUGAAAGCCCCGGGCUUAACCUGGGAAUGGCAUGGGAAACUGGCGGGCUGGAGUGUGGCAGGGGGGGGUGGAAUUCCGCGUGUAGCAGUGAAAUGCGUAGAGAUGCGGAGGAACACCGAUGGCGAAGGCAGCCCCCUGGGCUAACACUGACGCUCAGGCACGAAAGCGUGGGGAGCAAACGGG
rnacentral:rRNA from 1 species